GAUGAACGCUGGCGGCGUGCUUAACACAUGCAAGUCGAACGAUGAAGCUGGAGCUUGCUCUGGUGGAUUAGUGGCGAACGGGUGAGUAACACGUGAGCAACCUGCCCCUGACUCUGGGAUAACAGCCGGAAACGGCUGCUAAUACCGGAUAUGCACCAUGAACGCAUGUUCUGUGGUGGGAAAGAUUUUUCGGUUGGGGAUGGGCUCGCGGCCUAUCAGCUUGUUGGUGAGGUAAUGGCUCACCAAGGCGUCGACGGGUAGCCGGCCUGAGAGGGUGACCGGCCACACUGGGACUGAGACACGGCCCAGACUCCUACGGGAGGCAGAAGUGGGGAAUAUUGCACAAUGGGCGAAAGCCUGAUGCAGCAACGCCGCGUGAGGGAUGACGGCCUUCGGGUUGUAAACCUCUUUUAGCAGGGAAGAAGCGAGAGUGACGGUACCUGCAGAAAAAGCGCCGGCUAACUACGUG
rnacentral:rRNA from 1 species